rnacentral:rRNA from 1 species
GACGAACGCUGGCGGCGUGCUUAACACAUGCAAGUCGAACGGUGAAGGGACUGGUUUUGCUGGUCCUGGAUGAGUGGCGAACGGGUGAGUAACACGUGAGUAACCUGCCCCCUUCUUCUGGAUAACCGCAUGAAAGUGUGGCUAAUACGGGAUAUUCUGGGUCUGUCGCAUGGUGGGCCUGGGAAAGAUUGCGCCUUUUUUGGUGUUUUUGGUGGGGGAUGGGCUCGCGGCCUAUCAGCUUGUUGGUGGGGUGAUGGCCUACCAAGGCGGUGACGGGUAGCCGGCCUGGGAGGGUGGACGGGCACACUGGGACUGAGACACGGCCCAGACUCCUACGGGAGGCAGCAGUGGGGAAUAUUGCACAAUGGGCGCAAGCCUGAUGCAGCGACGCCGCGUGAGGGAUGGAGGCCUUUGGGUUGUGAACCUCUUUCGCCAGUGAAGCAGGCCUGCCUCUUUUUGUGGGUGGGUUGACGGUAGCUGGAUAAGAAGCGCCGGCUAACUACGUG